rnacentral:rRNA from 1 species
GAAAUCAACGCUGGCGGCGUGCCUAACACAUGCAAGUCGAACGCGAAAGUCCCGAAAGGGGUGAGUAGAGUGGCAAACGGGUGAGUAACACGUGGGUGACCUGCCUUCGAGUGGGGAUAACGUCCCGAAAGGGACGCUAACACCGCAUAACAUCCUGCCUUUGAAGAGGUGGACAUCAAAGCUGGGGAUCGCAAGACCUAGCGCUUGAAGAGGGGCCCGCGCCUGAUUAGCAGUUGGUGGGGUAAUGGCUCACCAAGGCAACGAUCAGUAUCCGGCCUGAGAGGGCGGACGGACACACUGGGACUGAGACACGGCCCAGACUCCUACGGGAGGCAGCAGUGGGGAAUUGUUCGCAAUGGGCGCAAGCCUGACGACGCCAACGCCGCGUGGAGGAUG